GACGAACGCUGGCGGCGGGCUUAACACAUGCAAGUCGAACGGAAACACCCUGCUUUUUUGGGGUGCUCGAGUGGCGAACGGGUGAGUAAGACGUGAGUAACCUACCCUUGACUUUGGGAUAACUUCAGGUAACUAGGGCUAAUACCGGAUAGGAGCUCCUGCUGCAUGGAGGGGGUUGGAAAGUUUCGGCGGGCGGGGAUGGACUCGCGGCUUAUCAGCUUGUUGGUGGGGUAGUGGCUUACCCAGGGUUGGACGGGUAGCCGGCAUGUGAGGGGGAACGGGCACAAGGGGACUAAGAGACGGAGCAGUGUGCAACGGGGGACAGUGGUCGGAAGUAUUGCACAGUGAGCGGGAGUCUGAGGAGGAGACGCUGGGUGUGGAAUGACGGCCUUCGGGUUAUGAACCGCUUUAGCCUAUGACGAAGCGUGAGUGACGGUAAUGGGUAAAGAAGCACCGGCUAACUACGUG
rnacentral:rRNA from 1 species